rnacentral:tRNA from 1 species
GGAUCCGUGGCGCAAUGGUAGCGUGUCUGACUCCAGAUCAGAAGGUUGCGUGUUCGAUUCAUGUCGGGUUCA